rnacentral:lncRNA from 1 species
GGUGAAAGAUCAAAAGUGAGGGUCAGAAGCACAGUUUCUACUGAAAGCAUGUUGUUUUGCAUCAUUGUGAAGUUGCAGCACCACAAAUUGAACCAUGGUAUUAGGCGCUGUCUAUACACACAGCCCCUUCUGCUGGCCGUGCGUCUCUUCAUUCACCCAGUGUUUCUUACACUGAGAAUCGAGCCUAAACAAACCGAAAAGUCCUCCCAUUUACAUUAAGUUCACAGUGCCCCCUGCUACAUCAACAGUGUUGGAACAAACAUUCUAGGAGAACGGACUGCAUGUGUGCUUACUCUGCCUCCGUUCUCUCAUCUGCAGCUGGGGGUGGUGUGGGGUCAGCCUCCUGAGGCUGUCGGCCCCACCGUUACGCCGGGUCGCUCCCUGAGAAAGGGCUCGUCUUGGCCUGUUGUGCAGUUGCGGUGCCUUUCCCCCCGGAAAUUUUCAUUCCAUGUUAUGAUAGGUUUGAUCUGGCAAUCUUUCCUAGAGGAUCAGUGUUCCUUCUGGGUAAGGCGUGGGCCCUGGCUGAGGCUCCCACUCCUGCAUGAUUGUGACACCCAUGGGGGAUAGGAACUCUUACUCACAAAGAGACCUGAGCAGCGAGAUUGUGUCACCUCCUGGAGGGAAGGCAAGGAGGAGAAAAGGCCCCGACAGCUCUCUGACUCAGAGGGGGCUGAGGACCGCGAGAUGGCUGAUGCUUCCCAGAACCCCACACUUCUUCAAAAACCAGCCCUCGGGCAAGUCUGAAGGCUGCUCUCCACCCAGCUUUGGCAGGGGCAGGAUCCGAGUUUCUGCAAAGAUAUACUCUCCAGCAAGUGAUGGAAAUCGCUGA